GGACGUUUAUUAUAUGCAGGCCCUCCUCCAGGCAUAGGGCUCAAGCUGUCACCGUUCUUUAGCUUUGAGAGGUCGGGAUUGAAACGUAGGCCAAAAGUGAAGAAAGCCGUGGAGGGCAACGCACCUCUGGCUCAGAGAUCCUGGGCUCAGUCUGCGUUCUGCAGCAUCUUCGCAGUGGUCCCUGACCCCGCGGGGCCUCUGUCUUCUACCAAUGGGGCCUCCUCCCCGGAAGGUUUAAGGAAGACUAGGGACAAAGACCCCACAAAAUGGCAGCUGGCAUCAUCCCUUCCCCCACUUUUCAACAAAUUCCACGGACACCUGGUAAGUCACCCUAGAGGUUCAUCCGGCCCACGCCCCUGCAUCAAGCAACCGACGCCGCCCAAAGCGGCCGCCACCGGGAAGUGCGCGGGGAGAACCGGACGCCAAAGCGAGCCCCGCCCAGCUGCCUUCUCCGGCGACCGCAGCCCCACCUGGGCAGCCUUGGGAAAUGCACGCUGCCAGGUCCCACCCCAAGCAGUCACCGGCGGGCCCGGGCGGGGCCAGGAGUCGGCAUUUUAACCAGCUCGCCUCCCCACGACCCCACACCCCCAGGUUAACUCUGCCCCGGUGAUGCCACAGCCCCUUAAAACCUCAACAGGUCAGCGCCCUCCUCCCAGUGGGAAGCUGUCAGGGCGCAAAACACCCGCGCCUCCUCUUCCCGAGUGAGUGCAACCCUCACGAGGCGGCCCAGGGGCCUGCCUCUGCGGAAGGGUACAGCAGGUGGCAGCCGCCGCCCCUGACCCGGGAGGCUCCUUCCUCAAAUUGUGGGGACCGGGGGAGGGGGUGCAGGCGACCAGCAGGAGCUCCUCUCGCCCUCCGGCGGUCCAGCGGGGGCCGGGCGGGGACUCCGCGGCGGGGGCAAUGCCAGCCGAGAAUUUCCCGGCUCCCGAGGGCGGCUCCAGGCCAAGAGCGAGGCUCGAUAUUGACCAGAUCGGAAUUACGAAGACCAGGCGUAACGAGGAAACAAUAAAAUGGAUAGAAGGCGAGGCUGACCCCGGUUCCACAGCGCCCGGCGGGCCCGGCCUCCCGCAGUGCCUAAAGCAGGGCGG
rnacentral:lncRNA from 1 species